rnacentral:rRNA from 1 species
AUGAACGCUAGCGACAGGCCUAACACAUGCAAGUCGAGGGGCAGCACAUGAGUAGCAAUACGAUGGUGGCGACCGGCGCACGGGUGAGUAACACGUAUGCAACCUACCUGUAAGAGGGGGAUAACCCGGAGAGAUUCGGAUUAAUACCGCAUAAUACUGUUGAACUGCAUGGUUUAACGGUUAAACAUUUAUGGUUUACAGAUGGGCAUGCGUAUGAUUAGUUAGUUGGUGAGGUAACGGCUCACCAAGACAACGAUCAUUAGGGG